UACAGAGGGGGCAAGCGUUGUUCGGAAUUACUGGGCGUAAAGGGCGCGUAGGCGGCCUGUUAAGUCGAACGUGAAAUCCCCGGGCUCAACCCGGGAACUGCGUCCGAUACUGGCAGGCUUGAAUUCGGGAGAGGGAUGUGGAAUUCCAGGUGUAGCGGUGAAAUGCGUAGAUAUCUAGAGGAACACCGGUGGCGAAGGCGGCAUCCUGGACCGAUAUUGACGCUGAUGCGCGAAAGCCAGGGGAGCAAACGGG
rnacentral:rRNA from 1 species